ACUGUAGUCUGCAACCCGACUACACGAAGCUGGAAUCGCUAGUAAUCGCGAAUCAGAACGUCGCGGUGAAUACGUUCCCGGGUCUUGUACACACCGCCCGUCACACCAUGGGAGUCGGGAAUGCCCGAAGCCGGUGACCCAACCGAAAGGAGGGAGCCGUCGAAGGCAGGUCUGAUGACUGGGGUGAAGUCGUAACAAGGUAGC
rnacentral:rRNA from 1 species